AUGCAGAGCUCAGACCCUAACCUGCCCUCUACCACCCACCCAGUCAGUCUCCUUCCAGCAGGUGCAUCUGGGAGGUCACCCUGGGCUUCUCUCCACCAGCGGGGAAGCAGAACCAUGCUGGGUCCCCUCGCCUUCCUGUGUGCCCUCCUGUAUCCCGGUGGUGUGGCAGCAAUCAGUGUGGAGCAGCCAGCCGUGGUGGUGGCGCGUGCAGGCAGCUGGGCCACGCUGCCCUGCAAAACCAGCGCCUGGGUCAGCUACAUCCACUGGUACCGCCACCAGGAGGGUACAGCCCCCAAGAGGAUCCUCAUGCUGGAUAUGUCCAGCUCAUAUGUGACCAGAGAUGGUGUCUUGACAGCGGACAAGGUCCACGCCAAGAAAGACAAGGAUAGCACAAGCUCUAACCUGUUGCUGGUGAAGCUGGCGAAGAGCGAUGAAGGCGUGUAUUACUGUGCCGUUUGGGAAGUGCAGAGCACAGCCUUACGGGAAGCUCAGGUCCUUGAGCAAAAAGUCUCCAACUCCCAGGGUGCUCCAGUCCUGGACUUUCCAUGGGUGCUGGAUCCCUGGGGUUUCCUGGGUCAACUGAGAGUACCCUGGACACUGGAGGACACCCCUCUCCGCGGGUCCACUGCACAUGACCCAGGAGGCUAAGGAGCCCUGGCUCACAGGCUGGUGCAGACCCAGGGGGUUGUCCCAUCUGGAGGCACUUUUCUAAAGAUCAUCCAGGGCGGAACUUCUGGAGCAUCUGGAGCAGGAUCUGAGCUGCUCAAGGCAGCAGCCACGAGCACCAGGCACCAGCCCCGUGUGGCUACUGAGCACUUGAAAUGUAGCCAGUGCACUAGUCCACGCCACGAUGGGCUGCUUGUGUAGCAUACAAAUCAUGUUUUGGAGACUAUAAAAAAAGAUGAAAUAAAUCCUUAAAAAUUUCUAUAUUGACUGCACACUGAAAUACUAUUUUGGAUAUCAUUCACUAAAUAAAAUUUGUGCUAGAAUUAUUUCUUUAACUUUGUUAUUUAUUUAACCUUGUUGUUAAAGCAGCAUUUAGGGAAUUUUUAAUUUGUGUCUCAAAUUGUGUCUAACACUUACUUCUAUUGAACAGAGCUGUGCCGGACUGACGAUUCAAGAUUCUCACCAUCUCCAAUGAAGAAUGUGGGAAUAAAAUAUCGUGCAAGUAAUUUCAAGGCCGAGAGACUCUCUGGGGAUUCCGCACAAAAUGGGUGCAAGCCGAGACUGGAAGGCAGCUCCUGACUCCAGUUUCUAAGUUGUCACCCCGCCCACCGCUGGUUCCUGUGCAGAGAGAGAGAGACUACCUGAUCAGAAGCCCAGGAAACAGUGUGGCUGACUUCGCAGCACCCUCACCCAUGCCUGGCGCUCACUCUCCUGCGGGGGAAAUGAUCCUCAGGGCAGGUGCAUGCAUCAGCCCUGGACGAGACCCCGGGCCCUACGCCUUCCCCUUCUCUUUGAAAGUGACUCCAUAUGGGAUUUGGGGACCAGCUUCCCUGGACCUCUGUUCUCUCCUCUGUAAAGUGAGGAGGUUUAACUGCUACAAUGUGUGACUGAUUUUUGUAUUAAAGCAAAAUUAUACCAAAAAUAUAUCACUAUGUUCACUAACUUCUUAUAAAGUUAGUCAACUUCUUGACCAAAAGAAAAAAAAAAGAAAAAAGAAAGAAAAGAAAUUAAAGAAAAGAAAAGCUAUAUUACUAAUUCCCUAGCCAUAAACAGGAGAGGCCCUGCUGUGUGGAGGGAAGAUAUAACUCUCUGAGGAGGUCUAAGCUGAAUUAAAUGCAUUUUCAACUGAAAAUUCCAGUUUUACGUACAACUUAAUAGCACUGGCAAAAAUAAUUAAUGAAAGGGAAGUCUAAAUGAUCGGAAGUAAAUUGGUUUCUCGGAUUUGCUAAAUCUUCCUCCGUCUUGAUGAGCUUCUGUUUGUGUGGAUGAUUUAUAUUUAAGACAUGCCUGCCUGUGAAGGAGCCCAAACAACAUCUGGACCCUCUACUGAAGUCCCGGCUCAAAGUUAAGGCCUCCAGCAAGUGCAGGAAGUGUGUGAGGGGGGGAGGGUUUGAGGGGGCAGAAAGUCACCUUCCCUCCCUCUUGGGGGUGGUCCCCUCAUUUGUCCUCCCCAUUUCCUAAUACAACCGAACCCUCUCGUCUUGCUGCACCUUCUCAGUGCCUGACUCCACAGAGGGGUGACUCUGAGAUCUGGUUAUUAUAGUUUAGUUAGAGAGAAGUGAGAUAAAUAUGAAGACACUCUCAUGAGAAGUGAUCCCAAGUCCAUGUCAAUCUCAGUUUUCCACGUGGAUCCAUUGUGCUUUUGAUGUACAGCCUGAGAGGACAGUGGCCUUGUACAGGGAGGAAAUACCCACUAUGUGGAGGAGGAAAGAAGUCUAUGUUUGGAGUCAUUUCCUCCUCCUGCUCUUCUCCUAUUGGCUAAGGUGAGCUUCACCCAGGACACUUUGACCACACAUAGUAAAGGCCAACCAGCUCUGCCUUCAGUAAAGAUGAUUAAUUAUAAGCUUGUUUCAAGGCUGAUUCAUGAAAACACUAAAAAUAUCUUAUUGGAGUAUAUAGGACUGAGUAUAGUAGGGCCUC